UACGGAGGAUCCGAGCGUUAUCCGGAUUUAUUGGGUUUAAAGGGUGCGUAGGCGGCGGGGCAAGUCUGAUGUGAAAUCCCGGGGCUCAACCCCGGAACUGCAUUGGAUACUGCCUUGCUAGAGUACUGGAGAGGGAACUGGAAUUUACGGUGUAGCAGUGAAAUGCGUAGAGAUCGUAAGGAAGGCCAGUGGCGAAGGCGAGUUCCUGGACAGUGACUGACGCUGAGGCACGAAGGCCAGGGGAGCAAACGGG
rnacentral:rRNA from 1 species